AUUUUAAAUGCCCUUAGUACCUGUGUAAAACCCGGGCUCCCCGGCGCCCCACCGCUCCUGUAAUUUUCCCAGGGCUCCUUGAGGCAUGCGCGCUGGUGUUCCUGGAUAACAGUUUAAAAUGCGGGUGUGCCCAGGACGAGUCUGAGCUUCACGCGGCUGGGGCUUUUGUUUCCUGGACUUGCCUGGCAGCCCGAGCCGAGUGUCAAAGUGGGAUUUCUUACGGCCGAGAGGGGUCCUGGGGUGUGUUUAUUGACACAGAAUGUUGGAGCUGACAGACAGGCCUUCGUGGAUGAUCAAGCGACUUUCCGUGCGAAUCUGAUGGAAUGUGGCAUUCCAGACUUUAAAGGGAAGGGAGGUUGCCAGGGCAACGGCACAUGGGGGCUGGCGAUGGGGGGGCCCCCUUGGGAGCUCAAAGGCCAGCCUAAUUUUAAGCAUUUGCAACUUAAAAAAGAAGAGGAAAUCUCCACAACUCUGCCAGAUACAUCUAUAGCAAUGAAUAUGAUUAGUUCUUCAGAGAGAUCCAAACAAACACGGCUUGGAGCUCACACAACAGGGGCUGCAGGGGAAACACGCAGGGCCUGGCCUGCUCCGCAGGGGACAGAGACAUGGCCACUUCCCCAGGAGAAGGCAGGGUGACGUGAGGUGGCCCUGCUGCCCCGGCUGAGAGCCACUCGGGCCCCGCAGAUCCUCAGACCCAUGACACCUGGUUCACGGCCUCCACUGCGGCUGUGGGCAGAAAGAGCACGGGCAGACCUGGGCAUCCCUGGCACUACAAAAAUAAACGGAGGAUCAAGUAUAAAAGUGACUGGACACGGAUGCGAUUCGAGGCCAGUGUCUGAGGAGGGGAAAAG
rnacentral:lncRNA from 1 species